UUUAACCGUUUCAAGUAUUGAUUCUCUCUCACGUCUCUGAAUCUACGCUCCCCUAACUUCUCUCUUUGCCGGUUACCUAUUUUUCGCCAGUUUACAGCGGUUGUCUCUCCCCUAACUUCUCCCACCACGUUCGUCUACCACUGUGUAUAAAACUAUCAUCAGUCAUCCUCUCCAAUCCAUUAUACACCAUCCUCUCGAAUUCUCUGCUCCUCUCUCACCAAGAAAACCCAAAUCGACAAUCGAAUUUUCUCUGGCCGUCUCUCCCCCAACCAAAUCCAAAUCAACAAUCAAUUGUUGAUUUGCAUCCCUAACCCAAAAGGCAUAGGAGCAUCUAAUUGUUUACACCCAAAUUGGAAAAAUUAGGGUUCGCUUUGUUAAAUGUGAAGUGAGUCGCCAGCCACUCGUGUCCACCGUAACCUUCGUAAUUGGAGAGCUUUUAUUAUGUUCAAUCAGCAUCACAAUAUGUAUGUUCUGAUGCUCUCAAAUCAGAUUGUUGAACCCGUUGUUUACAAGUUUGCUCAGUUCGUCACCAUCUUCUCUGGCAGCCAUCAUCCGCCUCCUCCUGCCAAUUGUUGUGCUUCCUUGAUCAGCCAUGGAUACCCAAGGAAGGGACAUCACCUAUAAAGGGAAAGACCAUCGUCAACUCAAACAUCCCUAUUUGAAGUGGGUUUCUCUGCUUUAUAGUUUGACGAAUGAGUCAUAAACAUCAUUGCUUCACUGGAGGCAGAACUCAAGUUGGUUAGAAUGGAGGUUAAUCCUUCAGAGUCUUUAAACCGGAUCAUCGAUAAAGAGUAUAAGAGUAUGGCAUAACGGAUGUGCAGAAAAAACGAAUUAUUGAUGCCCUUCGGAGUGAUGCGAGAGCGGUUAAAGCGGAGGAUCAUGAAGAGUGGGUUGACGGGGAGUGGGAGUUCUUUUACGAUAAAUGCAUGGAGCUAAGACUUUUGUGACGAGGAUGUUUACGAAGAUGAUAGUGGCUCAGUCCAGUUUUUAUCGCAACUCGCAAAGACGGGCUUGGUUGCGGUCCUGGUUUGCUUAUGGAAUACGACCCUCUUGGCUGGCCCAAUUUAUUUCCUGCUUGUGUGGCUUUAAUUACUUUGGCUGCUAUCAUGUGGAAGGCCCACGACAUGGGUAUUAUUUAUUUGAAGAUUGAAGGCCCAAAGUUUUUGGAUUUUUGGAUACCAGUGUUAUGUUUGUUGUAAGUUUAUGUAAUAUUGUUAUGCUUGAAAAGGAUAUUAUUUCUAUUUCCUACUAGGAGUUUAUUUUUUAGUAGGCAUAGUAUGGUUUUCGGUUUUGGUGGUUCCCAAAACAUGUUUUGGGAGUCCAAGUGUUACGGGGGUUAUGCCCCUCCAACAAAUACAUGUAAAAUCCUUUCAUUUUAUUAAAGUUUGUCGGGCAAAAGCUCAUUUAC
rnacentral:lncRNA from 1 species